rnacentral:tRNA from 1 species
GAGGAUGAAGUUCAAGGGUAGAAUAAUUGUCUAGCAAACACAAGUUCCAAGGUUCAAUUCCUAACAUUCCCU